UCCCAUUCUGCAGUCCUGAUUUUGUAUUGUGUCUCUUAAUGCCUUACUGCUCCUGUCUCCUUUGGGCCACCCUCUUAAAGCACUUCCAGAAGAGCCAGCUGAAGCCUGAAAUCACCCAGGGCCUUCACAGUUCCUUCCAUCUUGAUGGACCACUUCAGAUCAUUUUCACUGAUGACUUUUUUUGCACUGUCCUCUGAAAUCAUACGAUUGAACGAGC